AAAAAGACAAACUCUCGUUUUCGUGUCCAAUAUUUGACCGUCCAUCUUAUUUGAAAAAAUUAUAAAAAAAAAGACAAGUCACGCAUAAAAUACUAAUCAUGUUUUAUCAUCUAACAACAAUAAAAAUAAAAAUUAUAAAAAAAUUUUAUAUAAGACGGACCGUUAAAGUUAGAUACGGAAACUCAGGGUUUGUCUUUUU
rfam:Oryza glumipatula chromosome 7, whole genome shotgun sequence.